CCAGGGACCUCCUCCAUUAGCGGCCAGUCACUCUGAAGAAGCCAGUCGCUAACCCGGCCUCUCCUUCCCUUCCUAAUCCGAGACAGAGUGGGACUGCCUCACCCAGCACGGAAACCGAGACGUCCCAUACAGAAAGGGAAACUGAGGCUGAGGGUUCAGACUUCAAGGUCGCAGAGUGGGGACGCCUCUGCACUUCGGUGUUUGGAAUCCCUCCUGUAAAAAAUUUAAAUAUGGCUAAGAAUCUCAGCGGUGUAGAGAGCCCAGCACAAGAAAAAAAGAGGUCCAGCAUUGCUAGCUCCAUUGCUUUGGAACUGUGGGAGCUAGAGCACAGGGCUCAAAGAAGAAGUGUGGCCAAUUGCAGAAGAUGGGGCAGAGAGAGCCCAUGGACACUCCAGGCUCCGGGUGAAUUCUCAUCUCUUUUCCCUAGAAGCAGAGCAGAAUGAAGUGACCAUCAAGGCCACAUCUUCCUUCUCAACUCUUAACAGCUGUGCCUCUCAUCCCCAGGCCUUUAAACAAGAUACAUUGAAGAGUGGUUGAAGAGAACACCUGAUAUCAGCCUGUGGUCUCCAUAUGGACGUGCACGUGUCAUUCCUCUGGUUGGUACCGCACACUCAAUUACCAGGGUUUGCAGAAUGAAGCAGACCUUGGCAAUACCAUCACCUACCACCAGGGGCACUGCUGCCUUGGAGACCUCCAGACAGAGAGGGCUUCUGAGAAGGCAUCAUGACCAGCUUAGUGGGAAGGAGAGGUUUUGGCUACUUACUGACAUUUGGAUCAACAUGUUCCCCUGAGAAACGAGGAGAAGCCAUCCUGUUCCUUCCAGAGCCUGGCUUCGGGAGGAUAAUAUACACUUCCAUUUGUCACCAGCAGCUCUGUGUUCUUUCCUGAGUUAUCCCAGGUCCCAGAGGAGCUCACAAAUGCUGGGAACAUGCUUCGUAGCCCAACCCAUUUCAGUGCUGAGUAUCCCCAUUAUUUGGAAAGCCACCAUUCUCCUAAUUCUCCCCCGAAGGACAUUUUGCUUUCUCUAAGGGUUUGGUGAUGGUGGGAAAAGCUGCUAUAAAUGUUACCGUGCUGGCUUGUGUGUAGAAGUAAAUGUUCAUCUGAGUAAAGACUAAGGGGGCACAACUGGGAUCACGUGGGAAGAUGCUUUCAAUCUUGUAAACAAUCAACUCAUCUUCCAAAGUAGUUGUGCCAUUUCUCAUUCCAGCAGCAAUGACCAGCCAUUCCCGCUGUCUCUCAUCCUUGCUAGCACAUGAUGUCACCAGUGCUCUGGGGUCUGGCCAUUCUAAAGGUAGGUAGGGCUAUUUUGUGGAUGUUUUGAUUUGCAGUUGCACAGUGGCACUCUGAACACAUUUCUCCCAUUAAAGAUCGCAAUGACCUGUGAGUUCCAGGCCAGCCUAGACUACA
rnacentral:lncRNA from 1 species